rnacentral:rRNA from 1 species
UACGUAGGGUGCGAGCGUUACUCGGAAUUACUGGGCGUAAAGCGUGCGCAGGCGGUUCGUUAAGUUCGAUGUGAAAGCCCCGGGCUCAACCUGGGAAUGGCAUUGGAAACUGGCGGACUCGAGUGUGGCAGAGGGGGGUGGAAUUCCGCGUGUAGCAGUGAAAUGCGUAGAGAUGCGGAGGAACACCGAUGGCGAAGGCAGCCCCCUGGGCUAACACUGACGCUCAGGCACGAAAGCGUGGGGAGCAAACAGG